rnacentral:tRNA from 2 species
GGUCUCGUAGUGCAGGGGUUAACACGUCUGCCUGUCACGCAGAAGAUCGCGGGUUCAAUUCCCGUCGAGACCGCCA